rnacentral:misc_RNA from 1 species
AAGUCGUAACAAGGUUUCCGUAGGUGAACCUGCGGAAACGUUAAACAACCCUGUGAACUUUCAACGCUCUUGUAGCCCCAGAGGAACAGCAAUCCCGGUAAAUCAAUGGCGGAAAAGUUUUGAUUCGGGACCUCUGUCCAAAAGGUAUCAAGUUACAAUCGAGCAGAGCAGUGGCAUGGUUUCCCUAAGCAGUGCAGAAGGAUCCACUGAGUAAGGAUAACGCAUCACGGUUGCCAGAGGUCGAUCACCGGCCGGCAGACAUGUCACAGGGCGUGCGCGCCCCCUCAUUCACCCCUUGCCCUCUCAAGCCUCGCGGAAACGCCGGGCAUAAAAACCGAACAACUGUUAACAAUGGAUAUCUUGGUUCUC